AAUCUACUGCAUUUAAGGUUAGAUUUUCUGUCAGUGUUUCACAUAAAUAUUAACUUUUAAUUAUAUUUUUUUUUAUAUAAAUUGAAAUUGUAUAUUAGGAACGAAAAAAGUAAAUUGUUUAAAAUUGAAAAUGAAACAUGAACACAAUUGCUCGCAAUGUUUUGGUUUCUAUAAAAGUAAAUCUAAUUCUACAAUAUUGGUCGAAUUGGUUUCACAAUGUUUGUAUAAACAUAUAGUAAAACGUGUUUGGUGAAAGUAACCUGCAAAAUUUACUAUAUAUAUAUACACACAAAAUCCAGAAAGGAAUUCAAGCACAACUAGUGCGGUGAAGCCGCAGUCCUGCUGCUGUGGAUUUGCGGACGCAGGAUGUACGCUUUAUAGCCGCAAGGCCACAUUCUGAACUGGUCACUGAAUGUUGAGGAAAACAUCAAAUUUGGCAAUCCAUUGAUUAUUAUUCUUUCUCAUGUGAUAAUACAUAUAUGGUUUAAGUUUCGAAACUUUUAAUUGAGACCUUCGAACUUGCACAUAUAUAUCGUCAAUUAAAUAUUGAUUCUCGGAGAAAAAAAUACGAUCACCGCGGUUAUUCAACUUACAUUUACUUGCAAGGAAUUUUAUAUCGGUAAAAAGACCUGUACUAAACGGUAUAUCUAUAUAUUGUAUUGUAAUUUAAAUGCCACGAAGAUAUUGUUUUCCAUUUUAAGGCCUCAUUGCUUAAACUAAGUGCAACAACAAGAAAUUUCACGUGUAGCGAAUUCCUUACAUCAAAACAAAGCCUGCUUUCCUUACAUUUAUUUGGCACUCAAAAACAAUAUAUUUUCUCCAAAACAAUUGAAUUAAAUUUUCGUAAUAUAUAUAAUUUAUUUUCUCUAUAUUCAAUUUUAAAUUGAAUAUCAGGCCUCGGAUCGACUUUAAGACACAAGAAAAGUCGUUUUAGUCGAUUUAUAUUCAAAAAAAAGUUGAAAAAGUUGAUUUUUUCAAUUUUAACAAAAUUUAAUUGGUUAAUGAAUAUUUUCCUUUAAAUAACUAAUGUUAUUAGAUAUUAAAUUAAUUUUAUUAAUUUUGUAAUGAGAAUAAUUCUAUAUAAGAAUAAUUAUCAAGAAUAAUUUUAGAAAUAUUUGAAUUUCAAAAGAUUUUGUUAAUUUUCAGAGAAUAAUAUUUAAAUUUUUAC